UGGCACAGUGGUUAAAGCAUUUGUCUGUUAACCGAAAAGUUGGUGGUUCGAACCCACC
rnacentral:tRNA from 1 species